CAUCAAAAUAGAGCUAGAAGUUGUAAAUGUCAUCGCCUAUGGGGCGCAGAUGAAGCCUUUCUUUGUCACCACUGGUCAGUUGUGAAAGGAGCAGAAGCUAGCCGGAAAAUUCACAAGUUAAGGAGAUAAAAGAGCCCAUUAAAGAGCUCAUCAACAAUGUCCACUCCUCCUCUUCCUCUUUCUCUCACCAACUGUAGCCUUAUUUUUUCUUGAACUGAUAGCUUUCAUUUAUGGCCUCAAGGAGCGAUUAAUUGAAAAUAGAGUCCUACAUCUUGCUAAAAUCAUGCAACAAACAAAGCACAGAACAGAGUUUGAGGAAAUAUGAAUUUGGGGAUCAUUGGAAUCUUGGAAUCGAGGACCGUGCGAAGCCUCAGGUGUACAAUGAAGAGCACGAAAACAAGGGUCUUCAACAACGUGUCGCCGCAGUAAGAAACAAAAAUUGAAGAACUCGCUAUCAGAAAAAUGGAACGGCGAUGGAAUCUGCUUUACGUCACGUGCCUAAAAGCAGGAAAAGAUUCUUUCUUUCUUCUUCUUCGUCCAUAUGCACACUAUUUCUGUUGUUAUUUAUCUAUUCUAAAGUGGGGUUAACAGGGCUUCAGUUUUCAACAUUCGAGUUCUUUUCUUUUGCUGAUUGCUUUAAGUAUUAAUUUUUUUGGUCCCUUUUGUUUUGAUGUUUAGGUUUCACACAUAUACAAACGAGUUGCAGCUUAAAGUGUUGUUGUAAAUGGUUCUGUAAUUGGUGGGUAAAAAUAGAAAAAAUUGGAAGAGCUUGAGACAAUAGAUAAUGUGUCAGUCAUAUGUAUAGAGUGACAAUGAAUUCGAUGAAUUUUACUUCCAAAAGAAGUACAUUGAAAGUAAAUUUUCAUUAUAAAUAAAUAAUAAAAUUGGAUCUUCUAAGUUUCUCCCUCUUCUUAAAGAGGGAGAUAAUAUUGUCUCUCCCUUUAAAAAUUAUGCUUUAUUUAUGUUAGAGAGAGGCAAAAAUAUUCAGAUCUUCUCAUGUUUUAAGUUGUGUUUCAAUCUCCACCAUUAAAAGAUAAACAUUCAAUUUUAAUCAAUGGCCAAAAUUGAAAUAUGACCAACAAUAUGAAAAGAUCCAAAUACAACAAAAAAACAAAAAAUAGAAGGAAAGGAAA